rnacentral:rRNA from 1 species
GCCACACUGGAACUGAGACACGGUCCAGACUCCUACGGGAGGCAGCAGUGGGGAAUUUUGGACAAUGGGGGAACCUGAUCCAGCCAUUCCGCGUGAGUGAAGAAGGCCUUCGGGUUGUAAAGCUCUUUCGGCAGGAACGAAACGGUGUGGGCCAAUACCCUGCAUCAAUGACGGUACCUGAAGAAGAAGCACCGGCUAACUACGUGCCAGCAGCCGCGGUAAUAA